GCAUUAGAUGGCGCCAUAAACGGCUAUAUAAAUUAAUCCUUAGACAGAUCGAUUGUAACCCGCCUAUUUCGCAUUUUUGCUGCCCCGAUCGAAUGUUCACCACAAAAGGUAAAAUUAAGAGGAUUCAUAGGCUAUUUUUGUUGAAGAGAUUGUAAAAUUCUUGAAUAAUCCCCAUUUUUUACGAAUCUACCGAAGCUCUCCGGUCAUAUUGAACAUCUUAUCCAAGGCCCAUCAAAUACCGUUUAAAGCUCGUUGAAAAAAAGCACUGUAUUCUAUAAAUUAUGGAAAGAACUCGAGCGAUUUCGUCUGAUGAAUUAAUUCUCGAGCACAUGAGAACAAAACGGGUAGUUGGAGUAAUGAAAAAGGAUGGAGAAGAGACACCCGCCUACUUGAAGAGGGUCGAAAAGACGUCAACUUCAUCGGAAGAUGGGGAUAGCGUUCUUAAACUCAUAAGAGAUAGUAGAUUGACAAAGGACAUUCAAGAGCGAUAUUUAAAAGGAGCGAGUAGUUCGAUAGAGGAGAAAGACGAUCAGGAUUUAAUGCUUCGACAUAUGAGAAAUAAUGGAGUAGUAAGGAAGAGUAUUGAAUAUAUCUCGAAUUUAUCAGUACCUUCAGAAUAAACAGAAGAAAUAGAGAACAACAUAAACUUUUACAAUAUAGAUUUAACUUUUUGCGUUAUAUUAUUGGAAGAAAAAGAGGCAGAAAGGGAAAGAAGGAAUGAUUGGAGGAAAUUACGAUAGAAAGAAGGAUUUUAGUUACGCUACAACUUCGAUUAAUAGUGAUUAUUCUUGGAAAAAAAAGAAGAAAAGGUCCUUCUCCUAUCAAUAUAAAAUAUCCAAUUUAUUUCAUAUUUCCCCCGUAACUAAAAGCUUUGUUAAAUGCCUUAAUCUUAGUUAUUUUAUAAAUUUCUUUAUACCAUUCUCUUUCUCUCUAUCAUCUCUGUUUCUUUCGAAGACUUGAAACUUUUACAAUCAACAUUUCGUUAUAAAAAAAGAGAGGAAAGCAAAGAUAACGUUAGCUUAUCUACUUUCCUGUUUUUGUUUUAUAUAUAUAUAUAUAUAUAUAGAGUAUAUAUACGUAUAUAUUUUUUUGGAAAGAUUUUAUAUAAAUAUAAAUAGUUCAAUAAGAUCUGUUGCAGGAAAAAAAAAUAGAUUUUCACCCAAAAUGAUGCUACUGAUUUUUUUUUUUUUUGCUUCUUUACUAUUAAUACUAUGAGUACGCUAUUAUUUCUAUUAUCAAUUUACAAUUAAUACUAUAAUCUCAAUUCAUUACUUAAUAUGCUUAAUUAAAACCUAUACAUAUAUAUAUA
rnacentral:misc_RNA from 1 species